GGCACAGACCCCAAGGUCCCUGACCUGUCCUUCAGCACGUGGGCUCACGGGCAGCGGGCAUCAGAAAGUGACCUGCCCUUUGCUCCGCCGGUUUGAUUCUGGGUGUGUGGUGGAGCUUUUUGGGACUCAGGUCAUGCGGGAACCCCUCCAGCCUGGCCGCAGGGCUCCCCGCUGUACAGUGUGUUGAGAUGCAGCCCAGGGCUCCUUCCUGGGGAACGGGAGGCCCCGUGGGGAUCCUCCAGUUGAUCCUACCACAGAUGGUGCAGAAGGGGCUCUCGGGCAGAUGGGGGUGGCCCCUGGAGGACGGUGGGCUUUGCCAGAGACGGAACAGUCCUAGUGGAGGGAGGGCAGGGGCCCAAAGCCAGAGGCAGCUUCUCUUACCAGCCCAGACCCUGCCGGGGGCAGCCCUGCCCAACUGCAGAUCCCAGGGGCCCACAGGGUGCGGGUGUGGGUCGGGUGCCUACUAAGGGACUGGGGAGAGGCAAAAGCAGUGCUCAGGGACCAGCCUCUGUGCCUUGACAAGAACCAGUUUAUUUGGAGUCUCUGACCGGGUGACGCCCUCUCCCAAGGACAGGCUGCUGGGGAUGGGUGUGGUGCUGGUGGGGGCCUUCUGCCUGGCUGGGAGUGGGGGCAGCUGCCGUGCCCUCGCUGCCACCCUCUGCCCUCCCUGACUCUGGGGAGCUCCUCUUCUCUGUGCUGGUGGCUGCCUGGGCCUCUUUCCCCCAUCUCGGCACAGGUUUCUGUGCCCUCCUCGCCCCUGAUGGGUCUGGUCGAGCGCCUGCUCUGUGGCCUCAUCUGCAGGGUUCUGGGCCCAGCAGGGCUGGGGCCAAGUUCAGGGGCUGGGAGGUGUUGGACGGUGGGCAGGGGUGGUCGGGAGUGCCCUGUGUGCCUGGGAGGGUCCGUGGCCACUGCCCGCCUCAGUCCCUCUCUGCUGGCUCAGGGUCUGCAGGAGUGUGGUAGUCUGAGCCCCUGCUUGGCAGCCCCUCUCGAUGGAGCGCAGAGUGGCUCACCUGAUGGGGCAGCAGGCGCCUGGGUGGGGUGCCCGAACCUCUCUGGGGUGGGGUU
rnacentral:lncRNA from 1 species